rnacentral:rRNA from 1 species
AACGAACGCUGGCGGCAGGCUUAACACAUGCAAGUUGAACGCCCCGCAAGGGGAGUGGCAGACGGGUGAGUAACGCGUGGGAAUCUACCCAUCUCUGCGGAAUAGCCCCGGGAAACUGGAAUUAAUACCGCAUACGCCCUACGGGGGAAAGAUUUAUCGGGGAUGGAUGAGCCUGGGUUGGAUUAGCUAGUUGGUGGGGUAAAGGCCUACCAAGGCGACGAUCCAUAGCUGGUCUGAGAGGAUGAUCAGCCACAUUGGGACUGAGACGCGGCCCAAACUCCUACGGGAGGCAGCAGUGGGGAAUAUUGGACAAUGGGCGCAAGCCUGAUCCAGCCAUGCCGCGUGAGUGAUGAAGGCCUUAGGGUUGUAAAGCUCUUUCACCGGUGAAGAUAAUGACGGUAACCGGAGAAGAAGCCCCGGCUAACUUCGUGCCAGCCGCCGCAGUAA